rnacentral:rRNA from 1 species
AUUGAACGCUGGCGGCAGGCCUAACACAUGCAAGUCGAACGAGUGGCGGACGGGUGAGUCAUGUCUGGGAAACUGCCUGAUGGAGGGGGAUAACUACUGGAAAAGGUAGCUAAUACCGCAUACAAUCAGAUGUGCCCAGAUGGGAUUAGCGAGUUGGUGGGGUAACGGCUCACCAAGGCGCCGAUCCCUAGAUGGUCUGAGAGGAUGAACGUCCACACUGGAACUGAGACACGGUCCAGACUCCUACGGGAGGCAGCAGUGGGGAAGAUUGCACAAUGGGCGCAAGCCUGAUACAGCCAUGCCGCGUGUAUGAAGAAGGCCUUCGGGUUGUAAAGUACUUUCAGCGGGGAGGCGUUACCCGCAGAGGAAGCACCGGCUAACUCCGUGCCAGCAGCCGCGGUAAUUC